rnacentral:rRNA from 1 species
UACAGAGGUGGCAAGCGUUGUUCGGAUUUAUUGGGCGUAAAGGGUUCGUAGGCGGACCGGAAAGUCAGAUGUGAAAUCCCACAGCUCAACUGUGGAACUGCAUUUGAAACUUCCGGACUAGAGUGUGAGAGGGGUAAAGGGAAUUCCCGGUGUAAGGAUGAAAUCUGCAGAGAUCGGGAGGAACACCAGUCGCGAAGGCGCUUUACUGGCUCACUACUGACGCUCAGGAACGAAAGCUAGGGUAGCAAACGGG